UUACAGCCAUACCAUGUUGAAACACAGGUUCCCGUAUGUUCAACGAGGUGAAGCACAAUCGAGCCUGCUCAGUAGCUGGGUGGCUUACCGCUUGGGAAUACCAGGUGGUGUAGG